GGAUUGAGACAUUUGGACCGACCGUGAGUGAUCAACCGCUUGAGUAGCUCAUUGGAAUUGGUGUUGGUUUUGGAGUAGAGUAUUGUUGACAUUGGUAGUGAACUAAGGUUGCUGAAGCUUUGAGGUAAGGAUGCUGCAGGAGCCUCUGGUGGCAAGUGGCCAUACCUGGAUUAUGCAUGAAAUGUGGCA